CACGUAGGGCGCAAGCGUUGUCCGGAAUUAUUGGGCGUAAAGAGCUCGUAGGCGGUCUGUUGCGUCCGCUGUGAAAACUCGGGGCUUAACUCCGGGCCUGCAGUGGGUACGGGCAGACUAGAGUGCGGUAGGGGAGACUGGAAUUCCUGGUGUAGCGGUGAAAUGCGUAGAUAUCGGAAGGAACACCGGUGGCGAAAGCGGCGCGCUGGACCUCUUCUGACGCUGAGGCGCGAAAGCCAGGGGAGCAAACGGG
rnacentral:rRNA from 1 species